rnacentral:rRNA from 1 species
UACGGAGGGUGCGAGCGUUGUCCGGAAUCAUUGGGCGUAAAGGGCGCGUAGGUGGCCUGGUCAGUUCGUGGUGAAAGCGCGGGGCUCAACUCCGCGUCGGCCAUGAAUACUGCUGGGCUGGAGCACUGUAGAGGCAGGCGGAAUUCCGGGUGUAGCGGUGGAAUGCGUAGAGAUCCGGAGGAACACCGGUGGCGAAGGCGGCCUGCUGGGCAGUGGCUGACACUGAGGCGCGACAGCGUGGGGAGCAAACAGG